rnacentral:rRNA from 1 species
AUGAACGCUAGCUACAGGCUUAACACAUGCAAGUCGAGGGGCAGCAUUUCAGUUUGCUUGCAAACUGGAGAUGGCGACCGGCGCACGGGUGAGUAACACGUAUCCAACCUGCCGAUAACUUGGGGAUAGCCUUUCGAAAGAAAGAUUAAUACCCGAUGGUAUAAUCAGACCGCAUGGUCUUGUUAUUAAAGAAUUUCGGUUAUCGAUGGGGAUGCGUUCCAUUAGGCAGUUGGUGAGGUAACGGCUCACCAAACCUUCGAUGGAUAGGGGUUCUGAGAGGAAGGUCCCCCACAUUGGAACUGAGACACGGUCCAAACUCCUACGGGAGGCAGCAGUGAGGAAUAUUGGUCAAUGGGCGCAGGCCUGAACCAGCCAAGUAGCGUGAAGGAUGACUGCCCUAUGGGUUGUAAACUUCUUUUAUAUGGGAAUAAAGUUUUCCACGUGU